GAAAAUAAAAAACAUGCGGUUUCAAAUUCAAUGGAGAUCGUGAAGACGUGAACCAUUAACUAUUAGGCGAAUGGUGGCGAGUCCGGCUGAGGCGGAAGCUCAAAUGGCGGAAUUACUGCAACUGGCGGCGCUUGAUCGGGAACUAACGGUGACGGGAGAAAUGUUUCUGGCGGUUGAUCAGGAAUUACAGGUGACGGCAGGAAAUUGGUCGGU
rnacentral:misc_RNA from 1 species